rnacentral:rRNA from 1 species
AACGAACGCUGGCGGCGUGGAUAAGGCAUGCAAGUCGAGCGCGAAAGUUUCCUUCGGGGAGCGAGUAGAGCGGCAAACGGGUGAGUAACACGUGAGCAACCUGCCUUUGGGUGGGGGAUAACUCCGGGAAACCGGAGCUAAUACCGCAUAAUGUUGUUUGGCCGCAGGGCUGGGCAACCAAAGGGGGGGAUCUUCGGACCUCCCGCCUGAUGAGGGGCUCGCGUCUGAUUAGCUUGUUGGUGAGGUAAUGGCUCACCAAGGCAACGAUCAGUAGCCAGUCUGAGAGGACGAUUGGCCACACUGGGAUUGAGAUACGGCCCAGACUCCUACGGGAGGCAGCAGUCUAGAAGCUUCGGCAAUGGGCGAAAGCCUGACCGAGCGACGCCGCGUGCGGGACGAAGGUCUUCGGAUCGUAAACCGCUUUCGGCGGGGAUGAAAGCACGCAGGAAUAAUACCUUAUUGUGUUUGACAGUACCCGCAGAAGAAGCCCUGGCUAACUCCGUGCCAGCAGCCGCGGUAAUACGGAGAGGGCAAGUGUUGUUCGGAUUUAUUGGGCGUAAAGCGCGUGUAGGCGGUCGAGUAAGUCAGAUGUUAAAGACCCACGGCUCACCCGGGGGAAUGCGUCUGAAACUGCUUGACUAGAGUAUUGGAGAGGAAAGUGGAAUUCCAGGUGUAGCGGUGAAAUGCGUAGAUAUCUGGAGGAACACCGGUGGCGAAGGCGGCUUUCUGGCCAAUUACUGACGCUGAGACGCGAAAGCGUGGGGAGCGAACGGGAUUAGAUACCCCGGUAGUCCACGCCGUAAACGUUGGAUACUAGGUGUGGGAGGUUUUCUACCCCUUCUGUGCCGAAGCUAACGCAUUAAGUAUCCCGCCUGGGGAGUACGAUCGCAAGAUUGAAACUCAAAGGAAUUGACGG